UACGGAGGGUGCAAGCGUUGCUCGGAAUCACUGGGCGUAAAGGGCGUGUAGGCGGUCUCGUAUGUCUGACGUGAAAGCCCCGGGCUCAACCCGGGAAGUGCGUUGGAAACUGCGAGACUAGAGUCUCGGAGAGGAAGGUGGAAUUCCAGGUGUAGCGGUGAAAUGCGUAGAUAUCUGGAAGAACACCGGUGGCGAAGGCGGCCUUCUGGACGAUGACUGACGCUGAGACGCGAAAGCCAGGGGAGCGAACGGG
rnacentral:rRNA from 1 species